rnacentral:lncRNA from 1 species
UGUCACACCCACGACACAAACUGAUCAUAUUCAUCUCUAGAACUCUUAUGUUUUCUUAAAGUCUGCACUCAAAUAGAAAGCUCCACAAAAGUGGGGACGCACCUGUCCUGCUUACCACUGUUCUCCAGGCCUAGGAACCAGGAGUGCUUGCUGUGGAGGAGACACUCGGCAAGUAUUUAUUAAAAGAAUCCAAGGAAGCAUCUAAAUUCCCGAAGAUUAUGUGCAAAGCCCCUCUGCAUUUGACCCGGCUCAUCCUCUUUCCGAAUCUUCUAUUCAUCACUUAAUUCCCAGCUUAUGAUUCUCCUCAGCUUAGAGGCCUUACUGACUCAGCCUAGGGGAGCAGAUAGUGCCUCCUGGAUGCAGUACUUUGAUGAUGGUGAGGACGACGACGAUGAUAAUGAUGAUGAUGUUAAAAUCACAAUGCCAGCAACUGACAUCAUGGGGUGUUACAACGUACAAGGCACUCUUUUUCCUGUACCCUAAUAAGAUGCAUCCUAUGUUAAGAGUUUGGAGAUUGGAUUGCUGCAGAGUUUCACCCUCUCACACACUGCUUGCCUUGGAAUGUGCGUGUAAUCACAAUGGAAACAUCUAUGAGACGAGAGCCUAUUAAAUGAAUCCACAGACUAUACAUCUUCAGCCUCUUAUAAGCUAGAAGAAUCUUAGCUUUUUUUUUUCUUCAAGUCUAUGCUUAUCGAUGGCAAUCCUCAGAGAUGUUUUGUAAGUCCACAUGGGCACAGAAAUGUCAAGGCUUCCUUUCAAAGAAAAAUAACAUUUCUGAGAGUUCUGAAUUAUGCAAAGAGGUAAGUCAUUCAGGGGUACUUUCUGACAUGUAGAGGCAACCGGACACAAAUAGAUGAAAUAACGGUCUUCCCAAAGUGAGCAUUUGCCCUGUACAGAUGAUCAUUCUUUGAUUCUAGACUCGGACACGUAGCAGCACCUACUAGUUCAUAUAAUAAUGUACCUGUUCUUUGGAGGAACUCAAGA